AAAGGGCGAAUUAAAAAAAUAAAAAAAACCUAAUUAUAAAAUACAUUAAAAAUGCAGAGGGGCUAAAAGUACAAUUUAUCCCUCCGCUCAAAAACAAACGGAUCCUAGGCCGGGUCGGGUCGAAGUCGGGUCGGCCUCCCCAAAACGACGUCGUUUUGGCAUCUGGGGAGGCCUGGUGAAAUUUCGUCGUUUCACUAGGCUAUUUAAGCCAAAAUCUCUCCAAAAAUUUCAUUUUCAUUCCUCUUUAAAAAAAAACAAAAAAGAAUACUUCCCCAAACACUCUCCCUUCCCUAGUCGUCCGGCCACAGGCCGGUCAUCAGCCACCGCACCGGCCGCCGACCUCCGGCGCCGACACCGCCAUUUGCGGUGGCCUGAAAAGAGAAAAAUACCCUAUUCAACCCUCUCGACCCUACCAAGC
rnacentral:lncRNA from 1 species